rnacentral:rRNA from 1 species
GCUAACAACCUAGCCCCUCCCCACCCUCAAAUGAAAUAUCCACCUUUCUCCCGUAUAAUAAAACAUUUUUAUUGCCAAGUAAAGGCGAUUGAAAAGCACCUAAGAGCCUUAGCAUUAGUACCGCAAGGGAAAAGUGAAAUAGAAAUGAAAUAAAUUUAAAGCCCAAUAAAGUAAAGACUUAUCCUUGUACCUUUUGCAUCAUGGUCUAACUAGUCCCCCUAAGCAAAAUGAACUUUAAGUUUAACACCCCGAAACUAGACGAGCUACUUCAAAACAGCCUUAUGGGCCAACCCAUCUCUGUUGCAAAAGAGUGGGAAGAUUUUCAAGUAGAGGUGAUAUACCUAUCGUGUCUAGAGAUAGCUGGUUAUUCAGGAAAAGGAUAUUAGUCCAAUUUUAAACCUCCCACAUAACAUUAAAUACUACCAUAGGUUUAAUAUUUAUUCAAAUAAGGUACAGCCUAUUUGAAAUAGGGCACAGCCUAAAAUAUAGGGUAAUGUUUUUAUAUGUGACUAAGUAGGCCUAAGAGCAGCCACCUUCUCAAAAGCGUUACAGCUUCACCACAUAACAUUUUAAUCCCAACUAAAACCCAAAACCCCUCACCCCUACUGAAUGACUCUAUACUUAUAUAGAAAACCCUAUGUUAGAACUAGUAAUAAGAAAUUAUUUUCUCUAAACGCAAGUGUAAGCCGGAAUGAAAAUUUCACCGGCACUUACCGCUAAUGAAUCCACAGUAAUAACAAUACAAGAAAAUCCUACUUAAUCUCGCGUUAACCUUACACUAGACUUUUACCAGAAAGAUUAAAAAAGUAGGAAGGAACUCGGCAAAUAGUAACCCCGCCUGUUUACCAAAAACAUCGCCUUCUGUAACUAAUAGGAGGUCCAGCCUGCCCAGUGACAAACUUAAACGGCCGCGGUAUUUUAACCGUGCAAAGGUAGCGCAAUCACUUGUUCUUUAAAUAAGGACUAGUAUGAACGGCAUCACGAGAGUUACACUGUCUCCCUACUUUAAUCAAUGAAACUAAUCUCCUCGUGAAAAAGCGAGGAUACCCCCAUAAGACGAGAAGACCCCAUGGAGCUUUAAACUAACAUCACUUACAUUACUCUACAACAUCUAAAUUUAGUAAACCUAUCUUGCUAGUUUUUGGUUGGGGCGACCGCGGAGUAGAACUCAACCUCCACGACGAAAGGGUUAACCCCCUAAUCAAAGAGCCACCCCUCAAAGAAUCAAAACAUUGACCUAACUGACCCAAUAUUAUUGAGCAACGAACCAAGUUACCCUGGGGAUAACAGCGCAAUCCAUUUAAAGAGCCCCUAUCGACAAAUGGGUUUACGACCUCGAUGUUGGAUCGGGGUAUCCCAGUGGUGCAGCCACUACUAAAGGUUCGUUUGUUCAACGAUUAAAACCCC